UAUUGAACGAGACUGCAGCUGGGUGCUUUGUUCGGGAUCGAUCCUGUGGCGAAUGGUAUUCAGCGUUUCGCACAUCAAGACAGGGAGAGAGGGGGAAAAACAUUUUGUCAAUACUGUAAUGAUUGAGACAGAGUAGAUGGACAAGAUGCGGUUCUAUAUUAUAGGAAAAACUCGAUGAGAGAAGACCAACUAUGGGAGCCUGAUUUGAGAUGUUCUUCUGUUGUUGAUUGCUCAACAUUGAGAGAUAUUUCAAGGGCUCAGAGAGCUGACUGAGGAGAAGUCUUUUGAAAGAGCAAAGCCCGAUGACCAGGCGAAGGAAAUCAAGGCUCCCUAGCGUGUCGCCUUAGCAACGGGGGAAAAUUAGCAUUGACUUCCGAGCAAGCCUACAAAACUAGGCUUCAGGAUAUUUUUUUUUUUUUUUUUACAUCUUGAAAAGUGACAAUCAAAGAAUAUCUAAAGACAUGCUUCCACUUCCAUUUAUAUUGAAAUCAGCUUCUUUCUUUUUUCUACUGCCAGAACACAAAAAGUCUUAAUGUAUGUAUUUUUGCUCAUUUUACUGUGUUGUGCAGUUUCCCCGCGAUGCCCCCUUGCUCAUGUUUGCCUCCUGCCGUGGCAAACAGAACACGUUUAUGAUAGUGAAUGCAUUUCAGAGCACUUCCCUACAUGAACUAGAGCUGACACUGGCUUUCUCAUUCGCAGGCAUGGAAUUCAGAUCUCAUGAUUGCCAACACGCUUAAUGAUAACGUCUCCUAGAGUCACAGAAGUAUCACACUGAUGCACCAUCUCUCUCUCCCUCUCUUCAUCACAUUGCAGGGAAUUCAUUGGAGUCCAAACUGCAGAACCCACAACUAAGCCCAUCAGGAGCCGUUAUUCAGAGAAACGAAGUGCAAAUUGUUUGUGCCGACGCAUGAAGCUGCUUGGUGUAUCCUCUCAUCACAAGCAAGCUGCACUGCCAUGUAGGAACAAGCAGGAAUACAUUAAAAGGUAAUGAGAGAUCAGUCAGAAGAGGGUCAUGCAGGGCACUGUUUGGCAUCGCCAUUGCUGGGAUAGAGCUUUCAGCGUGACGGCCUUGUUGUCUCUGUUGAGGAGCCAGAAGGGGUGGAGUUCAACAACGUUCCUCAUGGCAACAGUUGCUAAGCCUUGCUUCUUGUUGAUGUGGUUAUCUGUAAAUCAAAACUGGGUGCAAAAGAUUAGCAAGCAUUGUAUAUAUGUAUGUUAUUUCACAUAUUAACUAUGAUUUGAAUAAAUAUUAUCAUCCAAGA